rnacentral:rRNA from 1 species
CAGGCCUACACAUGCAAGUCGAACGAAGGCUCUAGCUUGCUAGAUGUCCUUAGUGGGAACGGGUGAGUAACGCGUGGGAACCUGCCCAGAAGUGGGGAAUAACUAUGGAAACGAUAGCUAAUACCGCAUACCUCCUGAGGGAGAAAGGCUUCGGCGCUUUUGGAUGGUCCCGCGUCUGAUUAGCUUGUUGGUGGGGUAACGGCCACCAAGGCGACGAUCCGUAGCUGGUCUGAGAGGACGAUCAGCCACACUGGACUGAGACACGGCCCAGACUCCUACGGGAGGCAGCAGUGGGGAAUAUGGACAAUGGGCGCAAGCCUGAUCCAGCAAUGCCGCGUGUGUGAAGAAGGCUGCGGGUUGUAAAGCACUUUCAGCAGGGAAGAAAAGCCUAGGGUUAAUCCCCUGAGUCUUGACGUCACCUGCAGAAGAAGCACCGGCUAACUCCGUGCAGCAGCCGCGGUAAU